rnacentral:lncRNA from 1 species
GUUCCCCUCAGCAGGUCUGUCCCCUCAUGGGUCUCCCCUCACCAAGUCUCUUCCCUCGGCAGGUUUCCCCUCAGUGGGAUCUGUGCCCUCAUGGGCUUCCUCUCAUCGAGGCUCUCCUGUUAGGGUUUUCACCCCUAAGCCCCCCUGCAGUGGGACGCUUCUCCCCACAUCUAUCCCAAGGCAGAGGGAGGGUUGGAAUGACCAUAACAUGCAUCCCCCUUUCCCCCACAGGCCCAGGCAAUGCUUUGUUGUGAGGACGUGAAGAAAAUUGUGAUAUUACGACUUGGAGUAUCCACACGUGCAUCUGCAGCGGAUAUCCUACUGGUCCUGCUUAUGUCAUGGGGCCUUAGGUGGUCAUGGAAGAAACAGAUUACGUUACUCAAGCCAGCAGCAGCAGCACAUGCUCACCCCGCUAUCCAGCCAACAUUCCUCAACUCUGACCUGAGGACCACCUCUGGAGAUAAGAGUCCCUUCUUAUCAGUGAGUCCUCGUUUUUUUUUGCCAAGUCUGUUAGCAAAAACGAUAUUCAGAGCCAACAGUAUAGAUUUGGACAGCAGAGGCUUGUUCACCAGAA